AUCCAAAUGAAAAGUCCAAAAUAGGGCGAAACGCACGUCUUGGAU
rfam:Schistosoma curassoni strain Dakar, Senegal genome assembly, scaffold: SCTD_scaffold0000067